CGUCUCCCCUCUUCAAUCANUGAAACUGAUCUUCUCGUGAAGAAGCGAGAAUAUAAAUAUAAGACGAGAAGACCCUAUGGAGCUUUAAACCCAUUAUCACCUGCCCGUAUUAUACCAGAAUAAUUGGCAGCCUGUUCUUAAAUGGUUUUUGGCUGGGGUGGCCCUGGAGUAAAGUAAACCCUCCAGACUGAAUGGUUUAAAACCCUAAUCUAAGAAUUACUAUUCAAAGAAUCAAUACUUUGACAUAAUUGACCCAAUAAAUUGAUCAACGAACCAAGUUACCCUAGGGAUAACAGCGCAAUCCAUUUCAAGAGCCCCUAUCGACAAAUGGGUUUACGACCUCGAUGUUGGAUCGGGGUAUCCUAGCGGCGCAGCCGCUGCUAAAGGUUCGUUUGUUCAACGAUUAAUAACCCCACGUGAUCUGAGUUCAAACCNGA
rnacentral:rRNA from 1 species